rnacentral:rRNA from 1 species
GAGGGGUAUAGUUCUUCGGAGCUAGAGACCGGCGCACGGGUGCGUAACGCGUAUGCAAUCUACCUUUUACAGAGGGAUAGCCCAGAGAAAUUUGGAUUAAUACCUCAUAGUAUGUGAGAAUCGCAUGGUUUUCACAUUAAAGUUCCAACGGUAAAAGAUGAGCAUGCGUCCCAUUAGCUAGAUGGUAAGGUAACGGCUUACCAUGGCGACGAUGGGUAGGGGUCCUGAGAGGGAGAUCCCCCACACUGGUACUGAGACACGGACCAGACUCCUACGGGAGGCAGCAGUGAGGAAUAUUGGACAAUGGGCGCAAGCCUGAUCCAGCCAUGCCGCGUGCAGGAUGACGGUCCUAUGGAUUGUAAACUGCUUUUGUACAGGAAGAAACACUCCCUCGUGAGGGAGCUUGACGGUACUGUAAGAAUAAGGAUCGGCUAACUCCGUGCCAGCAGCCGCGGUAAUACGGAGGAUCCAAGCGUUAUCCGGAAUCAUUGGGUUUAAAGGGUCCGUAGGCGGUUUAAUAAGUCAGUGGUGAAAGCCCAUCGCUCAACGGUGGAACGGCCAUUGAUACUGUUAAACUUGAAUUAUUAGGAAGUAACUAGAAUAUGUAGUGUAGCGGUGAAAUGCUUAGAGAUUACAUGGAAUACCAAUUGCGAAGGCAGGUUACUACUAAUGGAUUGACGCUGAUGGACGAAAGCGUGGGUAGCGAACAGGAUUAGAUACCCUGGUAGUCCACGCCGUAAACGAUGGAUACUAGCUGUUGGGCGCAAGUUCAGUGGCUAAGCGAAAGUGAUAAGUAUCCCACCUG